UGAGGAAUAUUGGUCAAUGGGCGUGAGCCUGAACCAGCCAAGUCGCGUGAGGGAAGACUGCCUUAUGGGUUGUAAACCUCUUUUGUCGGGGAGCAAAGCUGCCACGUGUGGCGGUUUGAGAGUACCCGAAGAAAAAGCAUCGGCUAACUCCGUGCCAGCAGCCGCGGUAAUACGGAGGAUGCGAGCGUUAUCCGGAUUUAUUGGGUUUAAAGGGUGCGUAGGCGGACGAUCAAGUCAGCGGUCAAAUGUCGGGGCUUAACCCCGGCCUGCCGUUGCAAACUGGUUGUCUUGAGUGAGCGAGAGGUAUGCGGAAUGCGUGGUGUAGCGGUGAAAUGCAUAGAUAUCACGCAGAACCCCGAUUGCGAAGGCAGCAUACCGGUGCUCAACUGACGCUGAUGCACGAAAGCGUGGGGAUCAAACAGGAUUAGAUACC
rnacentral:rRNA from 1 species